rnacentral:rRNA from 1 species
UUACUUCUUUUAAUUAAGGAGUAGGAGUACUUUAGAGUAAAAUAAAUAAAUAAUUAUCGAAUAGAUAAGCUUAUUAAGGGCGUAUGGGGGAUGCCUAGGCUCUCAGAGGCGACGAAGGACGUGACAAGCUGCGAAAAGCUGCGGGGAUUAGCACAUAUGAAUUGAUCCGCAGAUAUCCGAAUGGGGCAACCCACUAUACUGAAGGUAUAGUAUUCCGCAAGGAAAGCGAACCCGGUGAACUGAAACAUCUAAUUAGCCGGAGGAAGAGAAAACAAUAGUGAUUUUGCUAGUAGCGGCGAGCGAACGUGAAACAGCCCAAACCAGUACUGUUACGGCAGUACUGGGGUUGUAGGACUACAAUAUCGUGAUUAAUAAUGAACCCGAAUACUUUGGAAAGAGUUCCCAUAGAAGGUGACAGGCCUGUAGGGGUAAGAUAUUAAUGAUGUAGUAGUAUCCUGAGUAGUGCGGGGCACGAGAAACCUUGCAUGAAUCAGCCGGGACCAUCCGGUAAGGCUAAAUACUACUGAGAGACCGAUAGUGAACCAGUACCGUGAGGGAAAGGUGAAAAGAACCUUGAAUAAAGGAGUGAAAUAGACCCUGAAACCAUACGCUUACAAGCGGUCGGAGCCCCGAUAACUAUCGGGGUGACGGCGUGCCUUUUGCAUAAUGAGCCUACGAGUUACCACCGUUAGCAAGGAUAAAUAAUUCAGUUAUGGAUCCGUAGCGAAAGCGAGUCUGAAUAGGGCGAUUAAGUUAGCUGUGGUAGACGCGAAACCGUGUGAUCUACCCUUGGGCAGGUUGAAGCUGUGGUAACACAUAGUGGAGGACCGAACCCGUUGACGUUGAAAAGUCUUGGGAUGACCUGAGGGUAGGGGUGAAAGGCCAAUCAAACUCGGAAAUAGCUCGUACUCCCCGAAAUGCAUUUAGGUGCAGCGAUUAAAUAGUUUUAUAGAGGUAGAGCUACUGAUUGGAUGCGGGGGCUUCACCGCCUACCAAUUCCUGACAAACUCCGAAUGCUAUAAAAUGUUUUUAAUCAGUGAGGGCAUGGGUGCUAAGGUCCAUGUCCGAGAGGGAAAGAACCCAGAGCAUCAGCUAAGGUCCCAAAAUAUAUACUAAGUUGAACAAACGCGGUCAGACUGCUUAGACAGCUAGGAUGUUGGCUUGGAAGCAGCCAUUCAUUUAAAGAGUGCGUAACAGCUCACUAGUCGAGCGGUCAGGCAUGGAUAAUAAUCGGGCAUAAGUAUAUUACCGAAGCUAUGCUUUUACAAUUAAUUUUGUAAGAGGUAGGGGAGCAUUCUAAACAGCGCAGAAGGUGUACUGUAAGGUAUGCUGGAGCGUUUAGAAAAGAAAAUGUAGGCAUAAGUAACGAUAAUGCGGGCGAGAAACCCGCACACCGAAAGACCAAGGAUUCCUCAGCUAUGCUAAUCAGCUGAGGGUUAGUCGGGGCCUAAGGCGAACCCGAAAGGGGUAGUCGAUGGACAAGCAGUUAAUAUUCUGCUACCUGCUUUAAAUUAAACGAGACGGAGAAGGAAAUCUAGUGCGUGCAGACGGAAUUGCACGUUGAAUCUACUGUAAGGUAGAGAUAGUACACCAAAGCUACGGUGGCGGUGAUAAUCUAGAGGCCGUUCUUCCAAGAAAAUCAAUUAAAGCAGCCCGUACCGUAAACCGACACAGGUAGUUGGGAUGAGAAAUCUAAGGUGCUCGAGAGAUUCAUGGCUAAGGAACUAGGCAAAAUGGGCCCGUAACUUCGGGAGAAGGGUCGCCCCCACUUUUGAGUGGGGGCCGCAGUGAAGAGGUCCAGGCGACUGUUUAUCAAAAACACAGGGCUCUGCUAAAUCGAGAGAUGCAGUAUAGGGCCUGACACCUGCCCGGUGCUGGAAGGUUAAGAGGAGAUGUUAUCUUCGGAGAAGCAUUGAAUUGAAGCCCCAGUAAACGGCGGCCGUAACUAUAACGGUCCUAAGGUAGCGAAAUUCCUUGUCGGGUAAGUUCCGACCUGCACGAAUGGUGCAACGAUCUGGACACUGUCUCAGCCAUGACCUCGGUGAAAUUGUAGUAUCGGUGAAGAUGCCGAUUACCCGCUGUGGGACGAAAAGACCCCGUGAACCUUUACUAUAGCUUAGUAUUGACUUUGGAUAAGUGAUGUGUAGGAUAGGUGGGAGACAUUGAAGCGGCCUCGCUAGGGGCAGUGGAGUCAUUGUUGAAAUACCACCCUUUACUUGUUUGAAGCCUAACCCCAACUUUUGUUGGGGGACAUUACUUGGUGGGUAGUUUGACUGGGGUGGUCGCCUCCAAAAGAGUAACGGAGGCUUCUAAAGGUUCCCUCAGCACGCUUGGUAACCGUGCGUAGAGUGCAAUGGCAUAAGGGAGCUUGACUGAGAGACCUACAAGUCGAUCAGGUACGAAAGUAGAGCAUAGUGAUCCGGUAGUUCCGCAUGGAAGGGCUAUCGCUCAAAGGAUAAAAGGUACUCCGGGGAUAACAGGCUGAUCUCCCCCAAGAGCUCACAUCGACGGGGGGGUUUGGCACCUCGAUGUCGGCUCGUCACAUCCUGGGGCUGGAGAAGGUCCCAAGGGUUGGGCUGUUCGCCCAUUAAAGUGGCACGCGAGCUGGGUUCAGAACGUCGUGAGACAGUUCGGUCUCUAUCUACAGUGGGCGUUAGAAAUUUGCGUGGAUCUGACUCUAGUACGAGAGGACCGAGUUGGACAAACCUCUGGUGUACCAGUUGUUCCGCCAGGAGCAUUGCUGGGUAGCUACGUUUGGAAGGGAUAAGCGCUGAAAGCAUAUAAGCGCGAAACCCACCACAAGAUGAGAUUUCUUUAAAGGAUCCCCAAAGACGAUGGGGUUGAUAGGUCACAGGUGUAAAGGCAGUAAUGUCAUAGCCAAGUGAUACUAAUUAUCCGAAGAGCUUAUCUAUGAGACGAUUAUUACUUUAUUUUACCCUUGACUUUACGUUUUGUUAUAUAUCUUUAACUAUGUCACGAUAUUAGAAUUCCCGCAACAGCUGGAACUUUACUUUUAAAAGAUAAUUGAGAACUACU